rnacentral:rRNA from 1 species
GAUGAACGCUGGCGGCGGGCCUAAUACAUGCAAGUCGAGCGAACGGACGAGAAGCUUGCUUUUCUGAUGUUAGCGGCGGACGGGUGAGUAACACGUGGAUAACCUACCUAUAAGACUGGGAUAACUUCGGGAAACCGGAGCUAAUACCGGAUAAUAUUUUGAACCGCAGGGUGCAAAAGUGAAAGACGGUCUUGCUGUCACUUAUAGCUGGAGCCGCGCUGCAUUAGCUAGUUGGUAAGGUAACGGCUUACCAAGGCAACGAUGCAUAGCCGACCUGAGAGGAUGAUCAGCCACACUGGAACUGAGACACGGUCCAGACUCCUACGGGAGGCAGCAGUAGGGAAUCUUCCGCAAUGGGCGAAAGCCUGACGGAGCAACGCCGCGUGAGUGAUGAAGGUCUUCGGAUCGUAAAACUCUGUUAUUAGGGAAGAACAUCUGUGUAAGAAUAUGUGCACAUUCUGACGGUACCUAAUCAGAAAGCAACGGCUAACUACGUG